UCUCUACCUGUCCACUUGACUGGGGUCUCCACGGUGUGUGGAGGUCCCAAGUUAUCCCCAGCAAUCUACUUACCUCUUUUACUACUGUAGCUAUGAAAUGGGGCCCCCUAUCUGAUGAUACCCCUAUGGGUACCCCAAACCUGGGAAUAAUUUCCUGUAGUAACCAUUUAACUGUUUCCUUUGCUUGGUUUGUGCGACAGGGAAGGGCUUCUGGCCAUCCAGAAAAUGUGUCAACCCCUACUAACAUAUAUUUGUAUCCUCGAAUUCUUGGCAAUUCUACAAAAUCUACCUGCCAAUAGUCUCCUGGCUCUAUUCCUAUCCAAAUUCUUCCUAGCUGUGCCUGUCGCCUAGCCACUGGGUUGUUUUUUCAAGCAGAUAUCACAUUUUGACAAGCCAGACAAGAUGGCAUAAAGCAUUUCCAGUUACAUCACCAUCUGGAUCCCACCCCAUGUGUCCAUAACUAUGUUAAUCAUAUAUGAACUGAGUGCCAAAGUUCCUUUUAUGCUCAGAGAGGAUGUGGUCAGUGGAGUUUGGAGGAUGGUUCACCCCAACACAUAAAAAAUUAGCCUAGCCAUCGUAUAAGAACAGGUUUCCUUGAUUUAUUUUGUCUUUCCAUGUUGACCAGAACCAAGGAAGUGUGAAAACCGAAGAGCUGUGGGAGGAGUUGAGCCAAAACAUCAUGCACCAGAGGAAGCGCUGGGACAGGGAUUUGUUUCUGGGGUCUUUUCAGUGAGAACAAAGACUUGAAACUGGGCAUCCCAUUUCUCCCUAUUACGUUAGGGGUCAUUGGUCGGAGACAGAAAUGACACAGACUCGCCGAGGGUCCUCAACAAACAGCCAAGAGUUUAUUAUGGCAGCCCCUUUUAUAGGGGAUUCAAAAUUCCCUGGCCUGGACAACUGAUUGGUCAGAAUCUCUGCACUGCCCACAACUCUGGCCAGUGAUGUGUCUACAUUUAUGGUUGCAUGGGACUGGCUGAGGUCUCUGAGUUUAAAUCCUUCCUAUCAUUGCUUACCCAGGGACUUGUUUUAUUUCUAGGCUGGUCGAAUUUGGAGGUCUGCUAUGACCAAAUUCAUCUGGCAGCUACAGACUAGCUGCACUGUGACAAUUCCCCCUUUGUGUUUGUCCUAGGGUGACUGUUAUCCCCAUUCGUGUGUAUGUAAUUUAUGCUGGAUAUUAUGUUCUGUGCCUUUAAGACUGGCAGAGUGAGAGUUUUGUUUUGGGCCUCUUAUCAGCCACUGGCGGGACAUACAGAUAGCCCCAGGGCAUGUUGCGGCUUUUUUUGCUUUUUGCCCUGCUUUUUGCUUUCGCUCUUGCUUCUGCUUCGCUUCUGCUUCGCUUCUGCUUUGCUUGCUCUUGCUGUUUUCCCCCCUUCUCAUUAGUUACUUUAGCUAAACAGUCCAAAUUCCUUUCUGGACUGCUCCCCCCACCCCGUUGGACCUGCUGACUGCUCCGGACUGGUAUUUAGAACACGGAGAGAGAGGUUACAUCUUGUGACUGCAGCAGCUGCCUCAGCGCCGGAGGGACUGAUAACAGAGCAAACCCCCAGGAGAGACUUUUCUGAAUUUGUCAUCUUUCUCAGAGCAGUGGAAGAGUGGUGUCAUCCGGCACCUCGCAGUUAGGAUGACAAAGAUAACACGAUGACACAGAUAAUAAAUCUAGUUGGAAUAAGACUUCCCACUCAACUCAACAAGCCUAGUCUCCCUCAGACAGUGAUGUAUUUCAUGUAUCAUUGGAUUUGUGACAUUCACAUUCAGGAGCUGUUAAAGGGGAUUACCAGAAAUACAAGUUUUUAAGAUGGCAUGCUGCAGGCUCAUUACUGAGAAGAUACAAUUUUACAACUUAACACUACAAACCAUAAACAAUUCAAUUCAAAACCUUUUCAAUUAAAAGCACACAUCUUUUUA